UACCCGCGCCCCAAGUGGUGGUCGAUAUUAUUGAGCCUAAAACGUCCGUAGCCGGUCUUCUAAAUCCUUGGGUAAAUCGGGCAGCUUAACUGUCCGAAGUCCGGGGAGACUGGGAGACUUGGGACCGGGAGAGGUCAGAGGUACUUCUGGGGUAGGGGUAAAAUCCUGUAAUCCUGGAAGGACCACCGGUGGCGAAGGCGUCUGACUAGAACGGAUCCGACGGUGAGGGACGAAGCCCUGGGGCGCAAACGGGAUUAGAUACCCCGGUAGUCCAGGGUGUAAACGCUGCGGGCUUGGUGUUGGGGGUCCUUAGUGGGCGCCCAGUGCCGGAGAGAAGUUGUUAAGCCUGCUGCUUGGGGAGUAUGUCCGCAAGGAUGAAACUUAAAGGAAUUGGCGGGGGAGCACCGCAACGGGAGGAGCGUGCGGUUCAAUUGGAUUCAACGCCGAAAAACUCACCAGGAGCGACGGAUAUAUGAAGGUCAAGCUGAUGACUUUACCUGAUUUUCC
rnacentral:rRNA from 1 species